UACAAAAACAGUUGCUAGAAAUGCCGACAUCCAACAGUUCGAGCAUCUUUCCGACAUACGACUACCGGAAGUUACUGCUGGAGAGGUUGGAAUACUUAUCGGCACUGACGCACCUGAUGCUCAUGUUCCACUUAACGUACGAUCGGGAAACAGUAACCAACCGUACGCUAUUCGAACGCGCCUAGCUUGGAUGGUUGAUUCGCGGUCCGGUCGAUACUAAAGUACGGAAUGAAGGUGAUAAUGACGAAGGAGGCAAGAGACGGUCAUUUCAAGGCAAGCGGAAGCGCGGUGAUCAUGACUAUGGAGAUGACACGGAGCGGUUCCGCAAGCUGUUCAUUGGUGGCCUGUCUUACACAACCACCAAUGAAUCUCUGAAAGAGUAUUUUGAGCAGUGGGGGCAGGUGGUCGACUGCAUUGUUAUUAUGGAUCCUCAGACCAAGAGGUCGCGGGGCUUUGGCUUUGUAACAUACCAGGAACUGUCCAUGGUGGAAGACUGUUUGGCCUGUAGACCGCAUGUUGUUGACGGACGAACAGUUGACACAACAUACAUGUUUUACGUUACUGUAACCAGUGUUUUUGCCAACCAGUGAGUGCGCAUGCGCAGAAAAUCCCGAAUGUAAACAAUAACAUUCAACUGGAUUAUUUUGGUGAAAGACACAAUUUUGGCAACUAAACAGAAACAGCUAAAAACUAACUGUGAAAUUCUCUGGAUUGAAAUUCAUUUAACCUCUUGUAAACCUUUAUAUAUUGCAGCAUACUAUCGACCAAAAGAAGCUGAUUUGCAAAGUAAUGAAGAAUUUAGGAAAUCCCUAGAGCUAACCGCCAACCUGAAAGGAAAUUUUUGGAUACUCGAAGAUUUUAAUUACCCCAAGUUCUCCUGGGAUACUGAACACAGACCCACAAUAAAACCUGGAUGUAGUAAUGUAAAACUUUAUGAUGACUUUAUUGACUUGCUUGCAGAUUUUAACCUUACUCAAAUGGUGACUGAAAACACAAGAGGAAACAACAUCUUGGACCUUUUCCUGACCUCUAAUCUUACUUGUGUUAACUCUGUAAAGACUCUAACAGGUAUUUCAUACCAUGAUAUUGUAUCUUUUAUUUCAGAUCUAAAGCCAACAAGAGAUGUGUUUGUCAGAAACACAAUGCCCCCUAUUGCACCGCUUUAAAGCCACAUAUUUGACUUUUGACCUUGAAAGAUGACCUUGACCUUUCACCACUCAAAAUGUGCAGCUCCAUGAGAUACACAUGCAUGCCAAAUAUCAAGAUGCUAUCUUCAAUAUUGCAAAAGUUAUCGCAAAACUUUAACCAAGGUUAAAGUUUAGGGACAGAAUGACAGAAGGACAGGCCAAAAACAAUAUACCCCCGAUCAUUCGAUCCGGGGGCAUAAAAAUAACAAAACAGAAACCCAGGGUUGUACCGCUGUAUAGAAAGGCAGACUGGGAUUCUUUAAAACCCACAUGCAAGGAGUGAGUGACAGGCUGCUUGAAAAAGGUACCUCGGUAAAAGAACUUUGGUCAUUUUUUUCAGAAGAGAUAUCAACUGGUAUUAAAUAAUUUAUUCCCUCAAAAACUAAAGGUACAAUAAGAUCAUUACCAUAGAUUACACAACCGAUAAAACGACUAAUGAGAAAAAGAGAUAAACUUUAUUUCCGACUCAAAAACAAUGGAGCUCAUAAGACCAGGAAAAUGUUCCUAAAUAUUAAAAACCUUAACAAACGAAAUAUCAAAAUUGCUUAUAAUAAAUAUGUCGAGUCCAUUUUAGGCAUUUAGGAUCCUGACGCUCAAAAGAACAGAUCCAACUUUAAUCCGAAGAAACUGUAGGCUCUUAAAAAAACUCCAAACAAGACGCUCAAGGUAUUUCUACUCUUUUUGACAAUGUUUCAGGACAAUCAACUUCUUUGAAUGAAGAAAAGGCCAAUGUUUUGAUCCAACAGUUCUUAUCCGUUUUCACACCUAUGUCCUCCCUUACCCUUUCUCAAUCAUGUCUCUCUUUUUUUCAGAAAUCUUAAUGAAAUUUCAUCUUCAUCUUUCAGAAAAUUUCCAAAAAUGCCAAAGAUCACAGUCAGUGUCAAUGGGGUGCAUAAGUUGCUAUCCAAUCUUAAACCAGACAAGGCAGCAGGUCCCGACAACAUCAAACCUCUUGUACUAGAAUUAAGUUAACAAAUUUCUCCAAUAAUAACACUCCUUUUUCAAAAAUCCUUGGACUCCGGAAUUCUCCCGAAAGUAUGGACAGCUGCAAAUGUUAUACCGCUGUACAAGAAAGGGAACAAAGAAGACCCAGCUAAUUACAGACCUAUCUCUCUCACCUGUAUUUAUGUAAAUCCUUAGAACAUAUUGUUUCCUCUAAUCUUUCAGCUCAAAUCAAUAAAUAUUAACAUACUUUAUGACUUACAGCAUGGUUUCAGAGGUAAGCGUUCCGGCGAAACACAACUUCUACAACUCAUUGAUGACCUGGCACGAAAUAGGACAUCUGGACAACAAACUGAUCUAAUAUUGCUUGAUUUCAGCAAAGCGUUCGACAAAGUGAACCAUCUUAAACUGCUUUUCAAAUUACAGGAACAUGGUGUGGAUAAAGAUACUCUCUCAUGGAUCAAAUCGUUCCUUAUAGGUCGUACUCAACGUGUUGCUCUAGAUAGAGAAUUAUCAUCCCAAGUACCAGUGACAUCUGGGGUACCACAAGGGUCUGUGCUUGGUGCGUUACUUUUUCUUCUCUUUAUAAAUGACUAACCUCAAUCUAUUGCUUCUCAAGUUCGCUUAUUUGCAGAUAACACUGCCGUUUACCUAACAAUCAACAAAAUACAUGACUGUCAUACUCUACAAGAAGAUAUAAACUAAUGAAACGGGAACAUCUUUGGGACAUGAAGUUCAACCCAAGAACAUACAGACAAGAAAUUCCAACAUUCUCCAGUUAGACCACAGGUUGAAUAUGCUUCUUCGGUAUGAAGUCCUUACAAAAUAUACAAAAAAAAAAUGAAAAUGUAAAGCGUCGAGCAGUCCGCUGGGUCAAGCAUAACUAUUCCCCAUACGACAGUGUCACUUCUAUGCAACAGGAACUUGGUUGGCAGACCCUACAAGACAGACGAAAUGACACUAAAUUAAUCAUAUUUUUCAAAAUUGUUCAAAGUUUAGUGGCUGUGCCCCUACCAUCAUAUAUCGAGCGACUCACCAGAUUCACUCGUCACAUGCACCGCCUCUCCUACAGACAGAUCCAUACCACUGCAAAUUAUUAUAAUUUUUCAUUUUUCCCAAGUGCUAUUGUGAUGUGAAACUAAAGUUUUACAUCCUGAUCUUGAAGGGUUUAAGCAGUCCCUGCUUUCCCCUUCUGUCCCUUGAACUCCAGGAGAAAUGUUUUUAUCAGUUUUUAACUUUAAAUAACUUCACCUUAUAUAAUAAAACUAUCAUACUUUUAUCUUUCUCACUUUUAACACUUUUAUCUGGUAUUGACUGCGCACCUGUCAAUAAUACUCGCAAGGGGAGUUAGACAGUAUAGAUAGGCAUUUGUAUAUCUGAACAUAUAGUCCGUAGAUAUAGUGAACAUUUGUAUAUCUGAACCUAUAGCCGUAUAUCUGGUGAGGAUUUGUAUAUUUGAACGUAUAGCCUGUAGAUCUAGUGAACAUUUGUAUAUCUGAACAUAUAGCCUGUACAUCUAGUGAACAUUUGAAUAUCUGAACGUAUAGCCUGUAAAUCUAGUGAACAUUAGUAUAUCUGAACGUAUAGCCGUUGAUCUGGUGAGCCUUUGCAUAUAUGAACGUAUAGCCCGAUAGAUGUAGUGAACAUUUGUAUAUCUGAACGUAUAUCCUCUAAAUCUAGUGAACAUUUGUAUAUCUGAACGUAUAGCCCAUAGAUCUAGUGAACAUUUGUAUAUCUGAACAUUUAGCCUGUAGAUCUAGUGAAAAUUUGUUUAUCUGAACAUAUAGCCUGUAGAUCUAGUGAACAUUUUUAAUAUCUAAACGUAUAACCAGUUGAUCCAGUGAACAUUUGCAUAUCUAAACGUAAAGCAUGUAGAUCUAGUUAACAUUUGUGUAUAUGAACCUAUAGCCUUUAGAUCUAGUGAAUAUUUGUAUAUCUGCACGUAUAGCCAUUUGAUCUAGUAAACAUUUGUAUAUCUGAACGUAAAGCCUGCAGACCUAGUGAACAUCAGUACAUUUGAUCGUAUAGCCAAUAUAAUUAGUGAACAUUUGUAUAUCUGAACAUAUAGCCCGUGGGUCUAGUAAAAAAAUAUACAUCUGAAUUCAGUUCAGAUUGUUAAUUUUAAUUUAGUCAUACAACAAAACAAGAUAUUGCGUUCAAUGAAUAGGAUUCCUCUGUUGCAAUUCUUGUCAGUUUUGAUUAAUUGGCCCAUUUGAUCAAGUCUUAGUCCAAAAUAAGAAUUGGAGCUUUUUUAGUUCAAUUAUGAUUAACCAAAAAAUAUUACCUUAGGAUAGGGUGAUGUUGGUAUGUUGAUCAUGUAAUAGCUUUGUAUGAAGCAUUAUUCAUGUCUAAAAAAAGAGUGUCAUUUUGUGUGAAACUUGUACUGACAACUGAAAAACGGGACAUGAAAAAAUGCUUAGUCCCUCCUGGCAUCUUCUCCCCUACCAGCUACUUUUUAACGAAUACAAAUAAUUUUAAUUAUAUAAGGAGAGGUUCAUCCAACGUUCAUUUAACAAAUGUUUAACUAUUCAGUUAAAUAGUUACAGAUCUAGGGUCUUACUAUAUUCAAAGUAGUAAGACAAAUAAAAUUCAAUAGGAUUUCCAAAUCAUGGAUAGAAAUAAACACAAAUCUGCUGAUUUCCUACUAAUAUUUUAUUACAUAUUUCUUCAUAAAAAAUCUGAUAUAUUCCCAACAAAUUUGUUGGUUAUAUACCCCUUAUCAGUAAUGAGAAUUGUAAACAGUCAUAGCCAAACACUUGUCACAAUAAACAAUCAAAACCGUCUGUGCUUAUGUCUUCAACCCUUUUCAUAACUGUUCUUCUGCUUUCCUAAAGAAGACAUCAGAUCAUAUUUUUACUUUUUCCAGGAAAAGAUUAAAGAUGUAAUUCCAACUUGAAACAUCAUUAAUACGUGUAAAUUUGUCAACAUGAAGGUAUGAUCAACCUUAUCUUUAUGUAGUGAACAUUUAUUCCUAAAAAUUUACAGCAAAUGUGCUGUGCAGUGUCAUUCCAAAACUAUUGACAUAAAAAUAAAUAUACGGCAGGUACAGUGUUUGGCAAUAGAUCACAAUUAGGUCUUUAUUUACAGAAAUGCAGUUUUUUUAUUUGUUAUAUACUAUGCUUAAUAAUUUAAACAAUGUCUCUGUAUUUCCAUAAAACACUGUACAAAUACAUAUGUAAGAAUACAAAACCUAUAUUGUAUUAAACAUAUGAAAUAAAAUUUUAACUUGUAAUAGAGAUUUUCCAUAUACGUUAGGAUCUUAAAUUUGUUUAUCAGUACACUGAUGAAAUAGACAAAAAUUAAUGCUUCACAAAUAAUAAUGGUUUCACUGUAUUCCAAGAAUUUAUUUGGUUUUACAGAGACAAUUAUAUUUGAAAUUUACUUAAAACCAUGAAACAAACAUGGGGUGUCUUUAAAAUUGUCUAAAACAACUCGGGACUUAAUUAUUCAAAUGUUUCUCAGACUAAAGGCAAAAAAAAAAAAAUGUGCAUCAGGGGCUGUACAUAAACUUCUUGAAACAGUAUAAAAAAGAGUUAAAGACAAAGUACCCGGACAAAUAAUACAAGCUACAUACUUUGGCUAAAAAGCGAUACAGUAAUAUUUGCGCACAACAAUUUUCAAAUGUAGUCAAUGGUUAUCGCACGCUCAUCUUAACUCACAAACAAAGUAACAAUGUAGCUAAGCAUUACAUGACAUUUUCAAGAUGCUACUGUCUCAAGUGUUAUCAUAUCUUACAAAUGUACUCAUAAAUAAUCAGAAAAUCAUCUGUCUGAUAUAUUUAAAAUCAGCAACAAGUAAUUGUGUGGUACUGUUGAAAGCUCAUAUGGAGUGGCUAUUUUUUUGGCAUGGUUCCAGAGAAUCAAAACAUGUAAUUAAAUUUUUGUAGCAACUAAUGUUUGGAAUGAAUAUAUUAUAUAUGACUAUCUAAAUCUAUAGUAGCAUACCAAACUAGGAGCAUAUGGCUUCAAAACAAAUUAUUUGUUUU